CCACUGGAGGUGCUGUUAUCUC
rnacentral:miRNA from 17 species